CCUGCCUCUCUGCCCCAAACUGGCCAUCCAAUCAGAUGCCUAGGAUUUAUGACCCUGGAACCCUCAAUGUUUAUAACAGGAGUGACUGCGAAUCUCCAUAGACAUUUACAGCGGAAAGCACAUACAAGGCUUAGUUUGGCAUGUUUUCUGGAUUGGUACAGCAUGCUAGAUUAAGAAGGCUCUGCGCAUACACAGAAGAGGUGCGCGCACUCACAUUUCCGAUCCGGUAGCAAAGCAAAUCCAGAAAAAGAAAUAAGGAAGGGAAAGGAAGCUAGAAAUGUGGAAGAGGAACAUAACAACCUGAGUGCUCCUUCUAACACGAUUGAUAUUAUAUUAUAAUCCUACAAAUGGCAUUAUCAUAUCAAGUCCUAUAUUUAUAGAGUUGCUGAAAUGGGAAAUAAAAAGGGCAGGACUCCGUUUCAA